UACGUAGGGUCCGAGCGUUGUCCGGAUUUAUUGGGCGUAAAGAGCUCGUAGGCGGCUUGCUAAGUCAGGUGUGAAAGCCCUUGGCUCAACUGAGGAAGUGCAUCCGAAACUGAGUAGCUAGAGUACGAAAGAGGGUCGCGGAAUUCCCGGUGUAGAGGUGAAAUGCGCAGAUAUCGGGAGGAACACCAGUAGCGAAGGCGGCUCGCUGGGCCGUUCCUGACGCUGAGACGCGAAAGCUAGGGGAGCGAACAGG
rnacentral:rRNA from 1 species